GAUGAACGCUGGCGGCGUGCCUAAUACAUGCAAGUCGAGCGAACGGACGAGAAGCUUGCUUCUCUGAUGUUAGCGGCGGCCGGGUGAGUAACACGUGGAUAACCUACCUAUAAGACUGGGAUAACUUCGGGAAACCGGAGCUAAUACCGGAUAAUAUUUUGAACCGCAUGGUUCAAAAGUGAAAGACGGUCUUGCUGUCACUUAUAGAUGGAUCCGCGCUGCAUUAGCUAGUUGGUAAGGUAACGGCUUACCAAGGCAACGAUGCAUAGCCGACCUGAGAGGGUGAUCGGCCACACUGGAACUGGGCCACGGUCCAGACUCCUACGGGAGGCAGCAGUAGGGAAUCUUCCGCAAUGGGCGAAAGCCUGACGGAGCAACGCCGCGUGAGUGAUGAAGGUCUUCGGAUCGUAAAACUCUGUUAUUAGGGAAGAACAUAUGUGUAAGUAACUGUGCACAUCUUGACGGUACCUAAUCAGAAAGCCACGGCUAACUACGUG
rnacentral:rRNA from 1 species